GAAAAUACUUUUAUCUUUAAAUAAUGCAUACUCUGCUUCCACGUAACUUGAACUGAAGUUAGGCUGGCUGAAAAGAGGAUAAGCAUUCGAACAGAGUUGUUCUAGAUUUUGAGCUCACGGAUAGAGCAAGAAUGAUUGCAUCACUGCUGAGCUAUUUCAUUUUGGCUGCUUCUGCAGAAUGGACAUAUACAGAUUUAAAAUCUCUUCUACUGAAUGAUUGAAGGUCAUGGAGAUUUCAAUCAUAAAACACUUUGAUAAGACUCACCAUAACAUUUCUGGAAUGAAAUUGUCUGCAAAUUCCAUCCACAUAAUCUGUUUCUGCCUGUGACCACGUAGACCUCUCUGUGCAUCCACAUAAUAUUCUAUCACUAAAGUUGUGAACCACGCCAAACAAAAAUUGGCUCGUCUUGGGCUCCUAAAACAUCAGCAAGGCCUAGUUAUCCAGCAAUUUUAAAUACGAUUACGUUUGUAUCAUAAUGAUCAUUACCCAUUUCACAUGAUUUCAUAGAAUAGAUGGAGCUCUAUUAUAUAAUUUUUAUUCACUUUCUCCAUUAUAUAAUUAUUAUAUAAUUUUAAUUUUUAUUCACUUUACUUAUAUAUAUAUACUAAAAAAUUUAAUUUUUUAAUUAUAUUAUUUUAAAUAUAUUAAAUUUUAUUAAAUAUUAAAAAAUAUUUUUAAAAAAAUUCUUAAAAAUAAAAUAAAAUAAAAUAAUAAUUUAGAGACAAUAAUAAAAAAUAAAUAAAUAAAAAUUAUAGAAAGGCGGAAUAAUAAAUAAUUAAUCAAUAUGUAUCCUAUUAAUACAAUAUAAAUAGAAGAUGAGGAAACAAAAUAACCCAUCUCUCCCAGCUGGCUCUUCUUUUUUCUCUCUUCUUUUUAUCAUUCUUCCAUUGCCAUGCCUUCCCAAACCCAACAGCUUCACUUUGUGUUGUUUCCUCUUAUGGCCCAAGGCCAUAUGAUUCCCAUGAUAGACAUCGCAAGACUAUUAGCACAGCAUGGCGUGAUGAUCAGUAUAGUCACCACAC
rnacentral:lncRNA from 1 species